GAUCAUGGCUCAGGAUGAACGCUAGCUACAGGCUUAACACAUGCAAGUCGAGGGGCAGCAUGGUCUUAGCUUGCUAAGGCCGAUGGCGACCGGCGCACGGUGAGUAACGCGUAUCCAACCUGCCUUACGACUCUUGGACAGCCUUCUGAAAGGGAGAUUAAUACAAGAUGUUAAUCGAUGAGUAAGCUAUUUUCGCAUGAUUAAACGGUUUACCGGUGUAAGAGUGGGAUGCGUUCCG
rnacentral:rRNA from 1 species